CUUGGGAAUCGUUUUGCAUUCCAGAAAACGUUUCUGGCCUAGUCGUUGCGUUUGCGGAAACGUAGCAUACCACAGCUGAGUCCAUGGCGACAUGCUGGCUGCUGCUCCUCCUCUGGGCGUUCCUCUGGCCGGCGGCCAGCGCGGUGCCGUGUCACCCCGACGACCUUCACGCGCUGCGGGGCUUCGCCGGAGACCUCAGCGGCGGGGGCGUCCUGCUCCGCACCGCAUGGUCCGGCGCCUCGUGCUGCAGCUGGGAAGGUGUGGGCUGCGAUAGCGCCAGCGGUCGCGUCACGGUGCUGCGGCUCCCCUCGCGCGGCCUCACGGGCCCCAUCCCAGGAGCCUCUCUAGCGGGCCUCGUGUGGCUGGAGGAACUCUUCCUCGGCUCCAACUCUUUCGUCGGCGCCCUCCCAGACGCGCUCUUCGGCCUUGCUAGGCUGAGGAAGCUCUCCCUCGCAUCCAACGAGCUCACCGGACAGGUGAGCUCACGCCUCGGCGAGCUCACACACCUCAUCUUGUUGGAUUUGUCCACCAACCACUUCUUCGGCCGCCUCCCGGACGUGUUCGAUGAUCUCACGUCGCUAGAGCAUUUGGCCGCACACUCCAAUGGGUUCUCCGGCUUCUUGCCGCCGUCUCUGUCAUCACUAUCAUCUCUCCGUGAGCUCAACCUCCGGAACAACACCUUGUCCGGCCCGAUUGCUCGUGUUAGCUUCUCCGGCAUGCCACUUCUUGCUUCCGCUGACUUCUCCACAAACUACCUGACUGGGUGACUCCCGAACAGCCUUGCGGGCUGUGGUGAGCUCAAGUCGCUCAACCUUGCCAACAACACAUUGGUUGGCACCAUCCCGUCGUGGAUUGGUGAGUUUGACCACCUUUGGUACUUGAAUCUCUCAAAUAAUUCAUUCGUUGGUGAGGUACCCAAAAGUUUGUUACGGCUCAAGGGCCUCGCCACCGCGGGUCGUUCAUUGGGUAUGGUUUUCAUUAACAUGCUAUUGUAUGUAAAUGACAAAAGAAGAGCACUCGAUGAACAACCAAAUACCAUAACUGGAAGCAACAACACUGUGAGAUCUGGGCGCAACAACAGCAUGUCUGGGAAUGAUAAUACUGUCAUAUCCGGAGACAACAAUGCUGUCUCUGGGAGCUUCAACACCCUUGUAUGUGGGGACAACAAUGUUCUAACUGGUGAUCACCAUGUCGUAUCCGGGAGCAACCAUAUUGUAACUAACAGCUACAAUAAAGUAUCUGGCUGCACCAAUAAUGUAUCCGGGAGCCACCAUACUGUAUCCGGUAGCAACAAUGCCGUAUCUGGGAGCAACAAUACGGUAUCUGGGAGCAAUCAUGUCGUAUCCGGGAGCAACAAAAUCGUAACUGACGAUUAAUGAUCUGUGAGUGGAUUGAUUCCAUCCUCGAGAACGAGAUCACGGAGCACAUCAGAGACUCAUGAACAGAAGAAGUUAAUCACUCAGAACCGAAAACCUAGGUACAUGGACCCACAUAUCUUGUUCCAAGCUGGGAGAGCACCAUAAAGACCUUUUGUAUAUUUACUGUUUUUGGCAUAUUUAAAUUUCCGCAACUAUAUACAUCCGUAAAGUCCGUGUGGAAAUUUCUAAAAGGACUUAUAUUUAGAAACGGAGGAAGUAGUAUGUAUUUCCGUGCUUGCAAUAUUAGUGUUAACUUCCAGCCUAUCAUGAGAAUUAUAUCAAAUGAUGCACUCGUCGUUUUUUGAUGAAUGUCUUUAUUACAGCUUCUGGUUAUUGUUAUUAGAUGUGUGAAUCCUGUUGAAUGAUCCCUUACUUGAUAGUUUCGAAUUGGC
rnacentral:rRNA from 1 species